UACCCGAUGGUGUAAUCGGCAACACAAGUGGUUUUGGUCCACUCAUUCCAGGUUCAAGUCCUGGUCGGGUAGCCA
rnacentral:tRNA from 1 species